rnacentral:rRNA from 1 species
GAUGAACGCUAGCUACAGGCUUAACACAUGCAAGUCGAGGGGAAACGACAUCGAAAGCUUGCUUAUGAUGGGCGUCGACCGGCGCACGGGUGAGUAACGCGUAUCCAACCUGCCCACCACUUGGGGAUAACCUUGCGAAAGUAAGACUAAUACCCAAUGAUAUCUCUAGAAGACAUCUGAAAGAGAUUAAAGAUUUAUCGGUGAUGGAUGGGAUGCGUCUGAUUAGCUUGUUGGCGGGGUAACGGCCCACCAAGGCGACGAUCAGUAGGGGUUCUGAGAGGAAGGUCCCCCACAUUGGAACUGAGACACGGUCCAAACUCCUACGGGAGGCAGCAGUGAGGAAUAUUGGUCAAUGGGCGAGAGCCUGAACCAGCCAAGUAGCGUGCAGGAUGACGGCCCUAUGGGUUGUAAACUGCUUUUAUAAGGGAAUAAAGUGAGCCUCGUGAGGCUUUUUGCAUGUACCUUAUGAAUAAGGACCGGCUAAUUCCGUGCCAGCAGCCGCGGUAA